rnacentral:rRNA from 1 species
AACGAACGCUGGCGGCGUGCCUAACACAUGCAAGUCGUGCGAGAAAGUUUCCUUCGGGGAGCGAGUAAAGCGGCGCACGGGUGAGUAACACGUAGGUAACCUACCUUUCAGUCCGGAAUAACCAGCUGAAAAGCUGGCUAAUGCCGGGUAAGACCACGAUCUCUGCGGGGAUCGCGGCCAAAGGCGGCCUCUUCAUGAAAGCUGAUGCUGAGAGAUGGGCCUGCGUACCAUUAGCUAGUUGGUGAGGUAACGGCUCACCAAGGCUUUGAUGGUUAGCUGGUCUGAGAGGAUGACCAGCCACACUGGGACUGAGACACGGCCCAGACUCCUACGGGAGGCAGCAGUGGGGAAUAUUGCGCAAGUGGGGAAACCCUGACGCAGCGACGCCGCGUGGGUGAUGAAGCCU